rnacentral:tRNA from 1 species
UCCCUGGUAGUCUAGUUGUUAAGAUUCAGUGCUUUCACCACUGUGGCCAGGGUUCGAUCCCUCGUCUGGUGA